GCUUAUAUUUUGUGUGUUUUCCCCCAA
rnacentral:piRNA from 1 species